GCCUGGGUGGCUCAGUCGGUUAAGCGUCUGACUUCAGCUCAGGUCACCAUCUCACAGUCCGUGAGUUCGAGCCCCGCGUCGGGCU
rnacentral:tRNA from 1 species